UGGGGAAUAUUGCACAAUGGGCGCAAGCCUGAUGCAGCCAUGCCGCGUGUAUGAAGAAGGCCUUCGGGUUGUAAAGCUCUUUUAGUGAGGAAGAUAAUGACGGUACUCACAGAAGAAGUCCUGGCUAACUCCGUGCCAGCAGCCGCGGUAAUACGGAGAGGGCUAGCGUUAUUCGGAAUUAUUGGGCGUAAAGGGCGCGUAGGCUGGUUAAUAAGUUAAAAGUGAAAUCCCGAGGCUUAACCUUGGAAUUGCUUUUAAAACUAUUAAUCUAGAGAUUGAAAGAGGAUAGAGGAAUUCCUGAUGUAGAGGUAAAAUUCGUAAAUAUUAGGAGGAACACCAGUGGCGAAGGCGUCUAUCUGGUUCAAAUCUGACGCUGAAGCGCGAAGGCGUGGGGAGCAAACA
rnacentral:rRNA from 1 species